GACGAACGCUGGCGGCGUGCUUAACACAUGCAAGUCGAACGAUGAAGCUGGAGCUUGCUCCGGUGGAUUAGUGGCGAACGGGUGAGUAACACGUGAGCAAUCUGCCCUUGACUCUGGGAUAACUGCGGGAAACUGUAGCUAAUACCGGAUACUUUCCUUGGUGGGCAUCCACUGGGGAAGAAAGAAUUUCGGUCAAGGAUGAGCUCGCGGCCUAUCAGCUAGUUGGUGAGGUAAUGGCUCACCAAGGCGACGACGGGUAGCCGGCCUGAGAGGGUGACCGGCCACACUGGAACUGAGACACGGUCCAGACUCCUACGGGAGGCAGCAGUGGGGAAUAUUGCACAAUGGGCGAAAGCCUGAUGCAGCAACGCCGCGUGAGGGACGAAGGCCUUCGGGUUGUAAACCUCUUUUAGCAGGGAAGAAGCGAAAGUGACGGUACCUGCAGAAAAAGCACCGGCUAACUACGUGCCAGCCGCCGCAGUAA
rnacentral:rRNA from 1 species